UACGGAGGGUGCGAGCGUUGUUCGGAAUCACUGGGCGUAAAGCGUGCGCAGGCGGUUCGCUAAGACCGAUGUGAAAUCCCCGGGCUUAACCUGGGAACUGCAUUGGUGACUGGCGGGCUAGAGUAUGGCAGAGGGGGGGUAGAAUUCCACGUGUAGCAGUGAAAUGCGUAGAGAUGUGGAGGAAUACCGAUGGCGAAGGCAGCCCCCUGGGCCAAUACUGACGCUCAUGCACGAAAGCGUGGGGAGCAAACAGG
rnacentral:rRNA from 1 species